UACGUAGGUGGCAAGCGUUGUCCGGAAUUAUUGGGCGUAAAGCGCGCGCAGGCGGUCCUUUAAGUCUGAUGUGAAAGCCCACGGCUCAACCGUGGAAGGUCAUUGGAAACUGGGGGACUUGAGUGCAGAAGAGGAAAGCGGAAUUCCACGUGUAGCGGUGAAAUGCGUAGAGAUGUGGAGGAACACCAGUGGCGAAGGCGGCUUUCUGGUCUGUAACUGACGCUGAGGCGCGAAGGCGUGGGGAGCGAACGGG
rnacentral:rRNA from 1 species